AAAUCCACACUCAAAUAUAGAUCCUGUGACUUCCCAACAGCCACACAAAAUGUGGACAUCAGUAAAUAUAGAAACGUACAAGUGGUCAAAGCACUGAGAAUAAGCAUCAGUGGACUGCCAAGCUACAAUUGAGAUGCCUCAAAAAUUUCCCAUCCAGCGACCAUGUUGGAAGAGGGGUGGAAUAAUUGUUACAAACCAGAGGCCAUGAAGACCAGAAUGGAGCAAUGUUUUCUAGCCACGACAAGACUGCUGCACUCAUGAGCAGCCUGUCCAUGAACUGCCCAAGAUCAAGCCAGGGAAGCACAUUAUUUCUAACAGCUGGAAGAUGGCUUGGGGACUUAAGAUACUUUGGAGCUUUGUCAGUGCGCUUGGCAUGAAACUGGAUGAGUUGAUGCAGAAGUUUGCUGAAUGAGGAUUCAAAGAUCACAAAACAAGAAAAUGGCAGCCACCCCUCCCGUGCAAUUCAUGGUAGCGUGUGCAACGGGGAUGGGAAGAUAUCUUUCAAUCAGAGAAGAGAAAGCGCCAUCUCCACCCAACUGUGCUGUGACUAGAGUGCAUUAAGAGGCACAAACAGCCUUUGAGCCUUUCCUUACAGAUUUUCACAGACAACUUCAAUCCAAAUAAGGUCCUUGCUCCACUGGAGGGGUCUUUUAAAAUUGUUUUCCUCUCCUGGAAGACAGAUUCAAUUAAAGUUGUCUGGCAGUGAAAAACCAGUGUAUUUCAAACAUGCAGAUGAAGAUUCUCCCCCAGUGAAAAAAUCGUACUCUCCUUUUUGGCUUCAAUCAGUGCUUUGUUUUCACAGUUUUUUUCAUCCUAACUUCACACUUCGGCCACAUUUCAGUGCUUCUGUGACCACCACCUAUUUCCCGUUAUUGUGUUUCUUAUUGCAGGCUGCCCUUCUUAGAACUCUUAUCUUUCCAUCAUGGUUUUUGGUCCUUUUAGUUGAUAUGACUUUGCCAGAGGCAGGGAAAACUGAAUGGAUAGUUUCUAUCUGAAUGGGAACCACACAAUAAUCUAUUAAAAUAAGUGAUAAAUGUCCAAGGUGCUUACCACUGUGGUUGUAGAUUUGUUGUUGCUGUUUUUAACUGUAAGCCAGAAUGGAGCUUUCUGGAUUUUAAGGCUUUUAUUUUUUCCUUCCAACUCUUUUUCUUUUCUUCUUCCUUUUAAACUAAGGGUAGACCUUGAUGUGUUGACACAUCUCUUUUACAUUGUUUUUGGCUAAAACCAGAAACAAAUUAUGUUGAAAAAUAUUGUGAGAACAUCUCUUCUUCUAAGAUUUCUAGCCCAAUAUAGUAAACUCCAGAGGUUUGGAGUGUUGAAAUAAGACUUAAGAAAACAUCCAGUGUUUUAGAUUAUCUGUUUAACCAAAUCCCAGUGCUGAACUGCUAGAGGUUUUCUUAUCUAGAAAGAACUAAAUCUAUAUUACAGAGUGACUUGAAGGAGUAGCCAAGCCAGUUACUACCUACAUGGGCUGGAGUCCUAAGCCCCAUGAUUAUGCUUUAGCACAUGGCUAUGUGCAUUUCUCAGACCAGCAAUUAUUUUGCAGAAUUCUUUUCUCAAGCAUGAUUAAAAUAUGAAACUUUGAGGACUAGAGAGGUGGCUCAGAGGUUGACAAUACUUGCUGUUCUGAGGACCCA